CAGGUGGCAGUGUAGAAGCCAAAACAGAAGCCUCCAGAAGUGGUUUCUGAAAAAUAAGAGUUGAAUGUACAUGAGUAAGCAAGCACAGGAAUCUGAAAAACCACAGGCCCGCUAAUUUGCCUGCUUGACUAAAAUAAGGAUGAGUUAUAUGCAGAUGAGAGACAAUCAAGUGUGUAAAGUUAUUCACUGUGACACAAUUCGAAAGAAUUUGCCUUUCAUUAUCAUUAAAAUGCAAGGUUUUGCAUAUUAA